rnacentral:tRNA from 1 species
GGAGCGAUGACCGAGUGGCCGAAGGUGCUCCCCUGCUAAGGGAGUAUGCGAUGUAGAGUCGCAUCGAGGGUUCGAAUCCCUCUCGCUCCGCCA